UGGGGAAUAUUGGACAAUGGGCGAAAGCCUGAUCCAGCCAUGCCGCGUGUGUGAAGAAGGUCUUCGGAUUGUAAAGCACUUUAAGUUGGGAGGAAGGGCAGUAAAUUAAUACUUUGCUGUUUUGACGUUACCGACAGAAUAAGCACCGGCUAACUCUGUGCCAGCAGCCGCGGUAAUACAGAGGGUGCAAGCGUUAAUCGGAAUUACUGGGCGUAAAGCGCGCGUAGGUGGUUCGUUAAGUUGGAUGUGAAAUCCCCGGGCUCAACCUGGGAACUGCAUUCAAAACUGACGAGCUAGAGUAUGGUAGAGGGUGGUGGAAUUUCCUGUGUAGCGGUGAAAUGCGUAGAUAUAGGAAGGAACACCAGUGGCGAAGGCGACCACCUGGACUGAUACUGACACUGAGGUGCGAAAGCGGA
rnacentral:rRNA from 1 species